CAGUCAUUGAUUAGAAAAAGAAAUCAAGGGGAGAAAGGUCUGGUGAACGAGGGGACCAUUCCAUAUGACCCCUUCUUCCAAUCUAGUGAGGAAAAGUGUCAUUAAGCCAAUCUCUAACA